rnacentral:rRNA from 1 species
CCUACGGGUGGCUGCAGUGAGGAAUCUUCCACAAUGGGCGAAAGCCUGAUGGAGCAACGCCGCGUGAAGGAUGAAGGUCUUCGGAUUGUAAACUUCUUUUAUGAGUGAAGAAUAUGACGGUAACUCAUGAAUAAGCACCGGCUAACUACGUGCCAGCAGCCGCGGUCAUACGUAGGGUGCAAGCAUUAUCCGGAGUGACUGGGCGUAAAGAGUUGCGUAGGCGGUUAUGUAAGCGAAUAGUGAAACCUGGUGGCUCAACCACACAGACUAUUAUUCGAACUGCAUAACUCGAGAAUGGUAGAGGUAACUGGAAUUUCUUGUGUAGGAGUGAAAUCCGUAGAUAUAAGAAGGAACACCAAUGGCGUAGGCAGGUUACUGGGCCAUUUCUGACGCUAAGGCACGAAAGCGUGGGGAGCGAACCGGAUUAGAUACCCGGGUAG